rnacentral:rRNA from 1 species
UGGGGAAUAUUGGACAAUGGGGGAAACCCUGAUCCAGCAAUGCCGCGUGAAUGAUGAAGGCCUUCGGGUUGUAAAGUUCUUUUACAUGUGACGAUAAUGACGGUAACAUGAGAAUAAGCUCCGGCUAACUUCGUGCCAGCAGCCGCGGUAAUACGAAGGGAGCAAGCGUUGUUCGGAAUUACUGGGCGUAAAGGGCGCGUAGGUGGAUAUAUGGGUUAGAUGUGAAAGACCUGGGCUUAACCUGGGAACUGCAUUUAAAACUAUGUAUCUAGAGUACUGGAGGGGAUAGUAGAAUUCCUAGUGUAGAGGUGAAAUUCGUAGAUAUUAGGAAGAAUACCGAAGGCGAAGGCAGCUAUCUGGACAGUAACUGACACUGAGGCGCGAAAGCGUGGGGAGCAAA